AUUCAGCUUCAAACUCAGUUGGUGGAGCAUGAGACUCUUAAUCUCAGGAUCAUGGGUUCAAGCCCCAUGUUGGGCA